CACACAUGCACACACACAUAUAUACAUGCACACACACACACACACACGCAUGCAUGCACACAUACACACACCCCAAUUGGUGAUUCUAUGUCCACACUGUUCUUGUAAUUCAUACCAAUCUGCAACUUAUUUUAUUUUUCUGCUAAUUAGAUAUGUGAGAUUUACUCCCUUUGACUCAUACAUUGGGUUUGAGUAGCUAGGACCUUGGAAUAGUAGUCUACUAAAUGGAUUCUCUACAAUUUACCUCUCUACUCAACCAUUUAUGAGUCCUUUCAUGAUUUCCAAUUUUUCACUAUGUUAAACAAUGUGUAUUGAACAUUGUUCUACACGUCUUCAUGGGUAUGCACGAUAAUUUACAUCAGAAAUCAUCUCUGCAUCUCUCCACAGCCCGUGCAUUUUUACUUAGAUAACUGUGUAUUUCUCUUCAUGUAGGUUGCACACCUCUACGGGAUCUAAUUCACAUCCCUAGUAGUGCUUGAUAUUAUUAAGCAGUGAUAUUUUCUCAGACUAACAUUGCUCACUGUUUCUUGGGGACUGUUUAGCAUGUGAACUUCACUCUACGCUCACAGCUUUGUACCUUUGUACUUGCUGUCCCAUUAUAUGUGGAAUAUUCUUAUUUUGCCACUUAAGAACGUCUGCUGGGUUUCCCCCCUUUAUGAUCUGAUCACUAAAUGCCUCCGAAUCUCUUAGUAGACCAUCUUACUCCUAGAUGCAUUUUGAUACUCUCUUAAGGGACUCUAAACCUAACUAGGAUAUAAUUUAUGUGAGGCAUUCUUUCUGAUUAUUUAUGCUUUCCUUUCUCACCCUCUUUGGAUAACAAAUCAAUGCUGACCUGAUGCUAACUCUACAGUAACUUCCUUUGCUUUCUUUUCCUUUUUCUUUUCUUUUUCUUCUUCUUUUUUUUUGUUUAUUGACAACUCAUGUUCACCCCUUUCUCCCCAUGCAAACCUGUCAUCUCCUAGACCAUUCAUCUCCUCAUCCAAAGUGCUUGACUUCCAGUGUUGCUUGGUUAUCACCAAUUUCAAGCCAGCCAGUGUUUUUCUUCCUGUAGGAAGGUUUACAAUCACUAACAUUUUAUUUUCUUCUCAUGGAACCUGAACUGACUCUGACCCAUAUCUUCCACACCAGGGGAUAACGAACGGAACCCCUUCUCUGCAAGAGCCUAUACUAUUUCCUUAUGAGCACCCUGCCAAGGGAAAGGCACUGCGUAAUCGUGACUGACAGAAGAGAAGGAAGCUGAUUACAAUUUUCACUUCAGGUUUUUAGUUGGGAGUUGAAUUUCAUGAGAUAAUUACAACAAGUCAUUGUGUUUCCAGCAUGAGAAUGUGGUGCAGAACCUUGUGGAAUAGAAGUGCUCAGGGAGCUAUCGAGCACACCCAUGCAUAAAAAGAAUUACACUUCAAGAAAGGUGCCUUGUAAAAUGAAAAUAAUAAUAAUAAUAAUAAAGUGAUAGUGAUAGUCUUUGGUUGCCAUGGAAAUAUGAACUCACCUUUCCUGAUAAGAAUUAUGGUUUUUUUUUCCACUGUAUUAGGCUUAAUAGAAAAAUGAUAUACUCUGUGACAUUUUUAACCAUGUAUGCAUUUUAAAGCAUUCACUGGGCUGCAGUGGCCAUGGAUUAGCAUAGAAUUAUGCACCUCAGUGUAUGCACUGGUAUGACCCACCAUCGGUUUUAGAAAGCAUGACAUUCAGUGUCUCCGAACUUAAUCCAUUUUAUCUGUAUAUGAGAGAUUAUAUAUGUUUGCUUGUAUGUGGCAACUCUUGCAUUUUUUCCAGAGUGAUUCCAAUGUAAUUCAGGUUCCUCUGCUAAAUCUGUUAUCCUGAAAAUGUGGUCUAGCUUACUGUAUCGUUUAAGACCACAAAAGAUCCAGGCAGCCACUAUUCUCAUUGUUUCUCUGCUUUCUUCCAAUGCGUUCUACCAUUUGACUUAAGAAUUGUUCAAGUUCGUACAAAAGGAAAGGCUCAGACAGUGACCCAGUGAGGGGUGAAUCCUGUUGUAGACUGGGCACAUGGCAGGACCAGGGAAUUGUCUGAGGCAUAAUACCUUGAGUCUUUAAAAUCUAGGAAAUAUUUCAAAUGUCAUAUAAUGGAGGGACAUGUUAUUUGUGAUUUUAUUGCCAUUCCCAGUAGAUAGUGAGGCAUGUUGCUGAGGAUACAUGGCUUGGUAAGUAUAGAAAUGCACUAUAGGGCUUCGUCAGGUAAAUGUUCUGAAGAGUUUGCGUAUUUAAGAGUUAGAUACAGUCAUUACCACUCCCAACCAAAAUACCAAUUUCUUCCCCUUGACCCAUGCCUUGGUAUGCACCCAUAUAUUUGAAUCACAGGAGAUAUGGUGGAGUCAAGUCACUUCCUUUGUUUCCAUUCACCAGCAGUUCCUCAAUUCCCAUAGGAGUGAAGCAAAGGGUUCCGUUUUUUGUUUGUUUUGUUUUGUUUUGUUUUGUUUUGUUUUGUUUUUUGACUGAAGCCCGUCUUAUGCUCUUGCUUCUCCACAGGCUGCUCCUUGGUCUGCUCUCUUUCUCAUUCCAUUCCAUUAAUGUUAGCAAACUGUUUUGCAACACAUCGUUAAGACUGAAAGGUCAGCGGGCUCCACUGCAUGAUCUUUAAAAGGUUGGUAAUGUCAAGACGAAUGCAGCCUCUUAAAUCUGUUUUUAAAGGCCAGAAUCAUCCAUGCAUUUUUGGAGGAGGAUAAUGACAUCAAAAUUAUUACCAAAACCCUGUCCCUGUGAUCAUUGGGGGCAACCAGGAUUUACUACUUAGUAGACAGAAACUUCUGCUGCCCAAGACCUGUGUAUCGGCUCUGGACGACUCGAUUUUAAGGGGAAAAGAGCAAGCCCUUCCUCUGCGCUCCAACAAAACUGUCUGCACUCCACACAAAUGAGCAGGUGACCCUACUUGACAUCAAAUCUCUAGACUUACCAACAAGUCUUUUUCUCUAAGAGUAUAAAUGUGUAGUACAAAAUAUAUACACAUUAUUUAUGACCUAAUUAAUUGUAGAAUAGAUCUGCUUUUUAAUUCAGUUAUCUUUUUUUUCACUUUUGUUUGUUUGUUUGGAUUUGAAAUGGCUGUGAAGUUGUGAGUAUUGAAAACUCAGGUUCAAGGUGACUGACAUUCCACUGAGACCUGUAUGAACACCUACUGGUCCUUGCUGGUCUCCUAAAGCAAGGAUAUGGUAUUUCGCAGUUAAUAAACAGCUAUAGACUUGGUAUGUUGAGCAACUUAGACAAUGCUAUGUGCUUAGGGACUGUUAUUUUUGUUUGGGAAUCAAACUCGGGUCCUUCCAUUUACUACCGAAGCACUCUACCACUGAGCUACAACCCCACCUGGUUUGGGAUUUUAAGAAACUCUGUGUCAAGUCUCUGCAGGAUUAUUGUCAAGUUCGGGUACUGUUUUAAAAUUUAAGCUAGCACUACUGCUUAAAAGCAUGACAUCAUGGAGAUAAUUCAGCCAGCAAAGGGGAAUAACAGUAGGUGCCAUAGAACAGACAGUGAAAGGGUGGGUGUCAGAAAGGAGAAUAAGAUUCUCUCUGUAUGGAGAAACAAUAGGGUUUAGAGGUGACUUGAAGACCAAUGCCAUUUUGACUUAAGUGCAUGGUGGUAGAAAAUCUCACGGUAAAGCAGAAUCCCCACCUAUCGUUGACUUCCUAACUCCACUCUGCUCUAAGCAGCCAAAAACCACUUUGGAUUUCUAAGGCUUUCCUUGACCUUCCCUGGGACAAAUUCACUCACAAAGAGGGUAAACUCACACUAGAUUCCAUACUUUUCAAAUUCAUAACCUCGGCCAGCUCAACAAAGAAAAAACCAAACAAACAAACAAAAAAAUGAUUAGUGUCCUCUCAGUUUAAAAUAUAAUUUUCUUUACAACACACACAUUUACUUAUAUAGCCAUAAAAAAGCUUAGAUAAAGUACUUCCUAGCCUGGUGUGUGGUUUCCUCUGCUUUUACUUAUUCUCAGCUCUACCUGUGCAGAUUCUACUCCUUCCUUCCCCGUGAACAUCUCCUGCCUCCUUAUCACAGCUUGAAAGCACCUGUCAAACCCAUUGUUUUGAAACAGAUGUCUAUCACAUGCUGCACAGGCUUGUAGUUUAUGUGUUUUUUACUUCCCUACAAUCAAAAAAUAUUUUAAAAUAAACGAGGAAUAGAAAGGUAUACAUAAGGGGCUGGGGAUUUAGCUCAGUGGUAGAGCGCUUACCUAGGAAGCACAAGGCCCUGGGUUUGGUCCCCAGCUCCGAAAAAAAAAAGAACCAAAAAAAAAAAAAAAGGUAUACAUACGUGAACAGAACGGGCAGUUCUCUGAUUAAAUCUAUUCCCACCAAGGUGCCUUAUCCAUUUGGCUCAAGUUCUCAUUAGAUUUUUUUAAAAUCACACUCUUUAAAAUGAAGUUUAUUUGAAGCAAAAGAGAAAAGUUCAAUUCUAGCGAAUGAGCCUCAGGAAAAUUUUUUUCUAUUCUCAGUAUUUUCUAGUACAAGCCACAAUGCGAAAUGUCCCUCCUAAAGUGUGUUCUUUCUCUUUGGAGACACUGUUUAUAAAUCACCCCAAUAUUCUAAGCCUCAAACACUGACACAGAGUCCUUCUUCAAACUCGAUGACAAUGAGUGACUUAGUUUUAUUCUCCCCCUGACACUAUUAGUUAUGAAGGACAAUGGAUCAAACCCAUGGCUAUGUCUUAUAUCACAGACAAACACAUACACACACACACACACACACACACACACACACACACACACACAAAUACAUACAUACACAUACAUAAACAAACCCAUCCUGUCUGGAGUUCUGGCUCCUUGAUGCAGAACAUAUCCAGUAUAAUCAGAGAAAGGUUCAGCAACUUAAUCACUUUAAAGGUAUAAUACAUUUUAAAAGCAAUGAGUAUCUGGGCUGGGGAGAUGGCUAGAUAGUUCAGUGGUUAAAAUCUUUGGCUACUCCUGCCAAGGACCUGCAGUAGAUUUCUAGCAUACACACAGAAGCUCAUGACCUCCUGUGACUCCACUGUCAGAACUCUUCUGGCCACUGAGGGGUACUGCAUGCGUGUGGUGCACAUACAUAGGUAAAACACCUAUACACAUAAAAAUAAAUAACUAUAAACAAAUAUGUUUUGGAACAGCAAAGAUACCAAAUUGUCCUUACACACAUGCACACACAUGAGGGGAGGAAGAGACAAAGAGGCAAAAAGAGAUACGAGAAAGGGUGGGGGUCGUGGAGGGAGGGAGAGAGAGCUCUGUGACAUGCCUGGCCAUGAUCUCUGAUAUUCGCUGUCAUCCCCCUGACAAUAAUGACAAUUAUUUUCUUUCAUGAUCAUGUCUAUGAUCAUCAGCAUCUCUACCACAGUCAUCAUCAUUAUCACCAUCACCAUUACCAGAGCUCUGACUUAUUAAGCAAUAGCGAUGAACUAGAUGCUAUUCUAAGCACUUUGCAUAUUUAUAGUUUCCAAUCACUUCCAGCCUGUAGAUAAUUGUUCAUGAUUAUUGUCAUUUUAAGAAAGUUGGAAUUUAGAGACAGGAAGUCAUAUGCUUUAGCAAGAAGUCUAAGGAUCCUCUGUGGGUGAGGAAGAGGACGCAUGUCUUUUGUUGCUCCCUGUAAGUCUCAGUGACAGUGACACUGGCUCCUUCCUCUGCCUCUCUUUGGCUUGUUGUUUCUUUACCAUCUCUGAUCCCAGUUUAUAAUCUGGUAGCUCCUUCAGCAUUCAUGAGUUUGCUCUAAAACUCACAUUGGCCUAAUGCUCUUAAGAAACCUGGGCACUAAGACAUAAAGAGUUUUAAAUUCAAUUGAAUAGUCGUGCUAUUUAUUUUGGUAGAUCUGAGGAUUAAACUAAGGGCAUUGAGAAGGUAUUUAGCAGGCCCUUGACGCUAAGCCCUGAGCAAAGACACCAGACCUAAGAUUAUUACUUUCUUAUAUAAAUUUUACAUGUAAAAAUUAAAAAUAAAAAUAUGAAACAUUUCACUAAGUAAAAAUAUAAGCAUUGUGUUUUCAGUCCCUGACUGAGGAUGGUUAAAUCUUGGUAAUUAUCAGCUCUGAAGGGCUGUUCUCCUGUCUGUGGGGGAUGGGUUGUUAUCAGGAUGAUCCCUUUGCUGAAAAUAGCAUGCAUAAAAGAGUUUUAUAAUCGCUGGGAAAGGAUCAUAAAGCAGUAAGCUCACAAAGCCCUAAGCAGCCAUGAGCCUAGACAGAAGUUCUGUGCAGACUGCAGAGCUAAGUGAGUGAGACAAAGGCUAGAGUCUUCUCUGGUAAGUGUACAACCUUCAGAGCCAAGAAAAGCAUAACCCCGAACUAUGCUAAGGACAAGGAAGACCCCACCUAGAGCUAUCACAGCCUAACUGAACAGCGGCCAGGUAAAAAUGCAAGCUCAACAAGCAAAAAAAAGGCUCAUGAGUCUCAAAGAAAAAGAAAAUGGAAAUUAUGGAAGGAAGAAGCCUCUCAGGUCUCUACAACUUCAUGUCCUCUUUAAAAAGAAAAAUAGUCCCAUCUGGGGAUUGGUGAAGAGUCAACAACUGGAGCAUGGGCAUCAUUUCUGAAGAAAAUGGACUCUUCCUUCUACCAUAGAUGGCCAUCAAUUGCCAAUAGCUCCUUGAGACUAGGGUGGAGCCUUGUGAGCCCCUCCCCCAAU
rnacentral:sRNA from 1 species